rnacentral:rRNA from 1 species
CCUACGGGAGGCAGCAGUGAGGAAUAUUGGUCAAUGGACGAGAGUCUGAACCAGCCAAGUAGCGUGAAGGAUGACUGCCCUAUGGGUUGUAAACUUCUUUUAUAUGGGAAUAAAAUGUUCCACGUGUGGGAUUUUGUAUGUACCAUAUGAAUAAGGAUCGGCUAACUCCGUGCCAGCAGCCGCGGUAAUACGGAGGAUCCGAGCGUUAUCCGGAUUUAUUGGGUUUAAGGGGAGCGUAGGUGGAUUGUUAAGUCAGUUGUGAAAGUUUGCGGCUCAACCGUAAAAUUGCAGUUGAAACUGGCAGUCUUGAGUACAGUAGAGGUGGGCGGAAUUCGUGGUGUAGCGGUGAAAUGCUUAGAUAGCACGAAGAACUCCGAGUGCGAAGGCAGUUCACUGGACUGCAACUGACACUGAGGCUCGAAAGUGUGGGUAUCAAACAGGAUUAGAUACCCGGGUAGUC